rnacentral:lncRNA from 1 species
AUCUCAGGUACUGUAUUUUAUGUUUUUUUCCUAUGAUUUAUUUAGUGUUUCUCACUUUGCGCAUUUUCAGCUACCCUUUUUUUCUUUGUUAAUCUUUUAUUACUUUUUUUUAUUAACCUCGGUUACAUGUACCAACUGAGAGGUCAUAUAUUGUGUCAAUAUUUGUUAAUUAAUUUUUUUAGAAGCUUCUUUUAUUUUUAUUUUAAGAACUCAUACCUCAGUUUUACUUGAAAAUCGACGUGAAAGAUUUUUUAAUUGAGUUCCCAGAAUAUGGAGCUAUAGCAC